rnacentral:rRNA from 1 species
GAUGAACGCGGGCGGCGUGCUUAACACAUGCAAGUCGAACGAACGACUAUUAACAGAACCUUUCGGGGCGAAGAAUAUAGAAGUUAGUGGCGGACGGGUGCGUAACGCGUGGGUAAUCUGCCUUUGUCAAAGGAAUAACUAUUCGAAAGAAUAGCUAAAACCGUAUAAAAUAUUAAUAGGGCAUCCUAAUAAUAUCAAAACGAUAGUGGACAAAGAUGAGCCCGCGUCUGAUUAGCUAGUUGGUGAGAUAAAAGCCCACCAAGGCAACGAUCAGUAGCCGACCUGAGAGGGUGAACGGCCACAUUGGAACUGAGACACGGUCCAAACUCCUACGGGAGGCAGCAGUGGGGAAUAUUGCACAAUGGGGGGAACCCUGAUGCAGCAACGCCGCGUGAGUGAAGAAGGCAUUCGUGUCGUAAAACUCUGUAGUAGGGGAAGAAAGAAAUGACAGUACCCUAAAAGCAAGCCACGGCUAACUACGUGCCAGCAGCCGCGGUAAUACGUAGGUGGCAAGCGUUGUCCGGAAUUAUUGGGCGUAAAGCGCGCGCAGGCGGCUUCCCAAGUCCCUCUUAAAAGUGCGGGGCUUAACCCCGUGAUGGGAAGGAAACUGGGAAGCUGGAGUAUCGGAGAGGAAAGUGGAAUUCCUAGUGUAGCGGUGAAAUGCGUAGAGAUUAGGAAGAACACCGGUGGCGAAGGCGACUUUCUGGACGAAAACUGACGCUGAGGCGCGAAAGCGUGGGGAGCAAACAGG